UACGAAGGGGGCUAGCGUUGCUCGGAAUCACUGGGCGUAAAGGGUGCGUAGGCGGGUCUUUAAGUCAGGGGUGAAAUCCUGGAGCUCAACUCCAGAACUGCCUUUGAUACUGAGGAUCUUGAGUUCGGGAGAGGUGAGUGGAACUGCGAGUGUAGAGGUGAAAUUCGUAGAUAUUCGCAAGAACACCAGUGGCGAAGGCGGCUUCCUGGUCCAGCACCGACGUUCAGGCACGAAAGCGUGGGGAGCAAACAG
rnacentral:rRNA from 1 species